rnacentral:lncRNA from 15 species
GGUGCAUCACAUACAGUUUUUGAGUUAUUUCCCCCAUUAACCUAGACUGGUAUGCAUGAAGCUACCAGGCCUGUUUACUGACGAUGACAUUCAUUGCUAGAAGGGCAAACAUGAAUCUAAGCAGUUUAUCUGACUCCCAAGGCGGCACAAAGUGUAACGCUGCGGGAAGCCCAGAGGAAAUGAAUGAUCAGGGCAAAUAGUUUAGUAAAAGUAUGCAAAAGGGUUUUUUGAACUUCCUUUAUUUCCUGUCAGUAGACGAGUGACAGCUGUUUGCAGUGGAGGAAUAAAGAAUUGAAGCUGCAUGCAGAGGAAGGGCCGCUGGGCUCCAGGGGACAGGAGAAAGGUUCCUUAUGAAAUAUUGAAGGAGACUGGAGAUGGGGCCAGAGCACGUCUGCCCUUCCUCCUCAGCUCCUCCACCAGCCAACAAUGUGUGUGCUCUGGAGGGGAACUCACAGUCCUGCCAGCUAAGGCACUGUCUGGGGCUCUUAAUCCGCCAGUUUCUUCCUCCCUGGCCUCCAAUACAUCAAUCAAAGACCGAUCUAAACUGACAGCAUUCACAUCUAUUCACUCAUCCUCAGCAUCCUAUACCACCUCAGUGCAUUAAACCUUUAAAAUCACACUGUUGUGGCGUGGUCCUUGCUAGUGGAAUAAUUAUGUGUUUAGUAGGAACCAAUGGGUUCAAGGCUGAGUGCAAGGCUGGGGAAGUUGGAAAAUAUGGUGAGACGGACUAACACACUGUUGGUUAUGUUCUUUUUUGGGAUUUGUUGACGGUAAGAAAAAAUAGAAUAAUACCAGCCUUAUCGUUUAAAUGAGACAGUGUUUGAAAACUACUUUGAAAAAGUGUUUUUUUGUAACCACUGGGCACUGUCAAAUCCAAAUGACAACCCAAGAGAAAGAGUCAAUUUUGAGUAAUGCUGUUUAGUAUGUUAUGUUUGCAGAAAUGCUGACAGACUUGUAUGAUCCACAGCAAUAUUGUGUUUCCCACUGGGGUAACCCAUACUAAAUAUGUAUGACCUCAUCUGACUGAAUGGUUUAUGGUUUCUUUUUCUAUGGUGGCUUUUUUCACAGAAGGAGACAUUUUGGGGGAUGCCACUGUGUCGGGUUGCCCUUCCUCUUCCAUGGAAAAGGUAAUUCUCACCACUGAUAUACAACACAUGGAAGCCAUCUGCACAGGACUGGAAGCUUGUGGUGUGGAGACUGUUAGCAGACUCAUACACGCAUACGUAUUAAGUAUAUGGAUAUAUCAAACAUUCAAUACACACAGUGCACAAAUAACAGUGUGUGUUUGAUGUGUGUGAGUGGAGCUCCUGUUAUUCUCUUUUUGACAGCUAAAUCAUCCCCCUCCUCCCUUCCCUGUACGUAACCUCAGAAGAUGAUUAGUUCAUAUUUUCCCCCAAUUGUAUGGACUGGUCCCUGGUGACGGGGCUGUGAUGUGUUUUAUAGAUAUGCUACAAGUCACCCUGUAAAUAGGUCAGCUGUCUGAAGUGUGAUGUGUCAUGUGGUCCUUUCCAGCUCUGAAAUGUCUUCUCUAAUGAGCCCUAGUGAUUUUGGAGGGGAAAACACCACAGCCCUUUUUCCAAUAAAGCCUCUCUCUGCCUCUCCGAGCCUCGCAUGACAGAAACAAAAGCUGUUUGUCCUUUGGGGGAUUGGUGUGUGUGUACGUGUGUGUGUGUAUGUGUGUGUGUCCGCCAUUCUUUCUUUCAAUUUGUGUUCUUCUGUCAUGCUCUCUCUUAUUAUUUUAUCGCUGUGUUCGCUCAAUAAAGUCUUUCCUCAUGACUUGGUGCUUUUAGCACUCGAGGUGGAGGAGGAAAAAAAACUGCUCCGGUCUCUGGUUGGGGUCAUAUUAUUGACACAGCAUGCCAUUUUACCAUUUAGUUAAAACUGUCUUUAACGUUUAAAAAAAAAACAAA